GCCCGGGUGGCGGAAUUUGGCAGACGCGCUAGCUUGAGGGGCUAGUGGCCGUAAGGUCGUGCUGGUUCGAAUCCAGUCCCGGGCA
rnacentral:tRNA from 1 species